AAAAGAUAUCACCUAUGCCACAAGUUCUGAUUUCUGCUGAAAUUUAAGGCAGCUGAGUGGAGUGCCAUCUAAAUAAGGAGCUUUGAGCACCUGGCUGUGGUGGAGAGGUUAUUUGCUCAAGUGAAGUCCAUACUGAUACUCUGUCCUUACAAGGGAGGUGCAGCAGGCAGCAAAACACAGUGCCACACAGAGCAAAAGUGCCCAAAAUGUAUAGCACCUAUUCUGGGAUUCCUCUAGGGCUGCUCUUUCAGGUCACAGGAUUUCAGGGGCACAGCUGGGAAGUUGUUGCUUCCACCAUCCUCAAGGCCCAUUGAGUUUCCUAUUGGAAAUCCACUCAGAGGUUAUUUGGUUUUCAUACAGUGCCUGGAGCAUGCUAGAGGCUUUACAGCCAAUAAAAGGCAGAGCCCUUACCUUUACAAGCUUAAAUUAGACAUUGCACAGCAGACAAGAAAGCAAGGAAUGGGGCUGAGGGGGAAUGAGGCAAUGGGGCAGAUGUAAGAACAUAUGGUGGCUGUCUGGUCAUACAAGUUUCUGAAAAGGUCUUUUGUGGUUCACCUUUGCCAUACUACUUAUUAAGGUUAUUGCCACUGAUUAUCCCCUUAGACAUCUUAUCCAAAUCCCAUGCACUCUGACAGGGAUGUUUUUGGAAGUGAGGAUGGAUGGUCGCUGGCCUAAAGAUUUAGGGAACUAGUGUACAGCUUGGGAGAUGAGGACUUAGUGCUCACCUCAGAUUCCCUGUUACCUCAACAAGUGACUGAUGCCCACUUCCUCAAAAAGCAUCUAACUGAAGUCUAAACCACAUUGAGGAUCUGGACCUGUGCAAAGGGGUCAAUAGCAUGGACCUACCUCAGAGAAAGGUUGCAAGGAAAAAUACAUCAAAGGGCAUUUGUACAUGCCACAAUCUUUCAUGUUUAACCACUCACAACUGUGUUUGUACAAGUGGGAUUUCCCGCUGCUUUAAAAGUCUUUUUGAUGCAUUAAACUAAUGCUGCUUGGACAUGUUUUAUUUUGUGUAGCUGCCGCUUAUGCUGCCCUAUCUAUGGAUUCGUGUCAUGCAACAGUGACUCAAAGACUUGUAAUUACUUUCCAUUACCACCAGGCAGCACUGCGCUAUUUCUGUAGUGGCCAGUAGCUGCCACUGCUAUUUUUUUUCUGUUUUUUUUCCUGCCCAUCCAUCCCUCCCUCUCCCUGCUCCCACAGCUGACCACAGGCAGCCAGGGCACACCGUGUGGGGGCACAGAAUAAUUAAUAAAGGUACAUGGAGCAGCAACCCAUUAUAUUGCAAAGUUCUGUUACUGUUUACUACCCCCUGGCAGUUUUGUCCUUACUUCCACCAGGGGUAGUGUAUAUGUUCCCCAUACUCCAUGCUCCUGUGUCCCAGCCACCCAGGAUCCCUGCCUACUGUGCCUAUCACGGUAUUCAGCACUGCCAAGCGGCAUCACCAGAAUGAUAAGUUUGCAACUAUAUGGAGUGUGGUACCCCUUAACAAUUCAAUAUUUCAAACCUUCCUAUUUUUUAUAACUGAUAUUCCCAUUCCAGAACCAUGACAUAUAGUCCAGGUGGAUGCUGCCUGCCAGAUCCUCCCCCCAGGAUAUGAAGUAUCCCUGGUGAUAUACAGAACACUUUGGAGUUCUGAAAUUGAAAAUUUUCAGCAUUAAGAAGGAAAGCAUGAAUCAACACCCACCUGUUAGAAGCAACUUGCUUUCGUUAAAUAGGACUGGUUUUUCCACCUUUUUCUACCUCAUUUUAAAUAAAAUUUUAAAAUUAUGUCA